rnacentral:lncRNA from 1 species
AUUACUCCUCGCAGCAGUCCAGUCAGACCUCCUGCGCUCCCCAGCAGAGCUACGGAGGGGGCUCUUCAGGCGGAGGUGGUAGCUGCGGAGGUGGCUCCUCCGGCGGCGGCGGCGGCGGCAGCGGCGGCUGCUACUCUAGCGGUGGUGGCGGCGGCAGCGGUGGCUGCGGUGGAGGCUACUCCGGAGGCGGCGGUGGCUGUGGCGGCGGCUCUUCCGGGGGCAGCGGCGGUGGAUGCGGAGGCGGCUACUCCGGAGGUGGUGGCGGCGGUUCCAGCUGCGGAGGCGGCUCCUCAGGGGGCGGCUCUGGAGGUGGCAAGGGUGUGCCAGUCUGCCACCAGACCCAGCAGAAACAGGCGCCCACCUGGCCGUGCAAGUAAAGUCCCCGGGCUGCAGCGGAGACAACGGAGCUGGAAGAGUUCUCCGUGGACGCCUAUGGGCUUAACUUUCUCAUGAAAUUGCCCGAGGUUUCCAAACCCCCCAUUUUAAGCUCACCCCCUCACCCUCACCCCCAAGAAGAAGCCUUUGAGUCGCUCAAGUUGUAUCUUGUUCUGUCGAUUUUUCCUCUUGGUUUCUGAAUGAUUCCCUCCCAAUUCCAGUGCCUACUCAGUCAAUAAAUUUGCAAUUCAUGGGAA